rnacentral:rRNA from 1 species
AGAGUUUGAUCAUGGCUCAGGAUGAACGCUAGCGGCAGGCUUAAUACAUGCAAGUCGUGGGGCAGCAUGGUGUAGCAAUACACUGAUGGCGACCGGCAAACGGGUGCGGAACACGUACAGAACCUCCCUUCAAGUGGUGAAUAGCCCAGAGAAAUUUGGAUUAAUACACCGUAACAUAUGAGAGUGGCAUCACUUUUAUAUUAUAGCUCCGGCGCUUGAAGAUGGCUGUGCGGCUGAUUAGGUAGUUGGCGGGGUAACGGCCCACCAAGCCUGCGAUCAGUAACUGGUGUGAGAGCACGACCAGUCACACGGGCACUGAGACACGGGCCCGACUCCUACGGGAGGCAGCAGUAAGGAAUAUUGGUCAAUGGACGCAAGUCUGAACCAGCCAUGCCGCGUGAAGGAUGAAGGUCCUCUGGAUUGUAAACUUCUUUUAUCUGGGACGAAAAAAGGGCUUUCUAGCUCGACUGACGGUACCAGAGGAAUAAGCACCGGCUAACUCCGUGCCAGCAGCCGCGGUAGUACGGAGGGUGCAAGCGUUAUCCGGAUUCACUGGGUUUAAAGGGAGCGUAGGCGGGCAGGUAAGUCAGUGGUGAAAUCUCCGGGCUUAACCCGGAAACUGCCAUUGAUACUAUUUGUCUUGAAUGUCCUGGAGGUAAGCGGAAUAUGUCAUGUAGCGGUGAAAUGCUUAGAUAUGACAUAGAACACCCAUUGCGAAGGCAGCUUACUACGGGAUGAUUGACGCUGAGGCUCGAAAGCGUGGGGAUCAAACAGGAUUAGAUACCCUGGUAGUCCACGCC